AGCUCAAUGUGAUGCAUUCCUGGAGGGGAGAGUAGGGGAGUGAGAGAAGUAUAGGUUCCCGUCCCGGCCCUGGGUUACACGAUCAUUUAGCUCAAUGUGAUGCAUUCCUGGAGGGGAGAGUAGGGGAGUGAGAGAAGUAUAGGUUCCCGUCCCGGCCCUGGGUUACACGAUCAUUUAGCUCAAUGUGAUGCAUUCCUGGAGGGGAGAGUAGGGGAGUGAGAGAAGUAUAGGUUCCCGUCCCGGCCCUGGGUUACACGAUCAUUUAGCUCAAUGUGAUGCAUUCCUGGAGGGGAGAGUAGGGGAGUGAGAGAAGUAUAGGUUCCCAUCCCGGCCCUGGGUUACACGAUCAUUUAGCUCAAUGUGAUGCAUUCCUGGAGGGGAGAGUAGGGGAGUGAGAGAAGUAUAGGUUCCCGUCCCGGCCCUGGGUUACACGAUCAUUUAGCUCAAUGUGAUGCAUUCCUGGAGGGGAGAGUAGGGGAGUGAGAGAAGUAUAGGUUCCCAUCCCGGCCCUGGGUUACACGAUCAUUUAGCUCAAUGUGAUGCAUUCCUGGAGGGGAGAGUAGGGGAGUGAGAGAAGUAUAGGUUCCCGUCCCGGCCCUGGGUUACACGAUCAUUUAGCUCAAUGUGAUGCAUUCCUGGAGGGGAGAGUAGGGGAGUGAGAGAAGUAUAGGUUCCCGUCCCGGCCCUGGGUUACACGAUCAUUUAGCUCAAUGUGAUGCAUUCCUGGAGGGGAGAGUAGGGGAGUGAGAGAAGUAUAGGUUCCCAUCCCGGCCCUGGGUUACACGAUCAUUUAGCUCAAUGUGAUGCAUUCCUGGAGGGGAGAGUAGGGGAGUGAGAGAAGUAUAGGUUCCCAUCCCGGCCCUGGGUUACACGAUCAUUUAGCUCAAUGUGAUGCAUUCCUGGAGGGGAGAGUAGGGGAGUGAGAGAAGUAUAGGUUCCCAUCCCGGCCCUGGGUUACACGAUCAUUUAGCUCAAUGUGAUGCAUUCCUGGAGGGGAGAGUAGGGGAGUGAGAGAAGUAUAGGUUCCCGUCCCGGCCCUGGGUUACACGAUCAUUUAGCUCAAUGUGAUGCAUUCCUGGAGGGGAGAGUAGGGGAGUGAGAGAAGUAUAGGUUCCCGUCCCGGCCCUGGGUUACACGAUCAUUUAGCUCA